rnacentral:rRNA from 1 species
UCAGCUGCUACUGUCCCGCGAGGGAGGUGAGUACACGGUGGAGACCGCUGGCGCUAAGUCAGAGGAAGGGGUGGUCGACGGUAGGUCAGUAUGCCCCGAAUAUCCCGGGCUACACGCGGGCUACAAUGGACUGGACAAUGGGUAACGACACCGAAAGGUGAGGUCAAUCUCUUAAACCAGUUCUUAGUCCGGAUUGAGGGCUGUAACUCGCCCUCAUGAAGAUGGAAUCCGUAGUAAUCGCAUUUCAAAACAGUGCGGUGAAUACGUCCCUGCUCCUUGCACAA